rnacentral:rRNA from 1 species
AAUGAACGUUGGCGGCGUGGAUUAGGCAUGCAAGUCGAGCGCGAACCCCGCAAGGGGGGAGAGCGGCAAACGGGGUAGUAACGGGUAGGUGACGUACCCUCGGGUUGGGAUAGCCACGGGAAACUGUGGGUAAUACCCAAUAAUCUCCUGGAGCUUGAAGGCUUCGGGAGCAAAGGUGUGAUUCCACCGGAGGAGCGGCCUGCUUCGUAUUAGCUAGUUGGUGAGGUAACGGCUCACCAAGGCAUCGAUGCGUAGGGGGUGUGAGAGCAUGACCCCCACCACUGGGACUGAGAUACUGCCCAGACACCUACGGGAGGCAG